UCAGUCAAAUGCUUCGAAUGCCUCUCUCUCUCUCUCUCUCUAUGCCUUUUCUUUCUUCUGCUCUGAUAAAAACAGAAACAAACUAACAAACACCUUUCAUGGCGAAAGCGUUUUCACUUCUUCAAAUUUUCUCACAAAACUCAUCCUAUUCCAUCCUGAGAAGUCGAGAUUUUGAAUAGAUAAAGCUUCUCUCAAUCGGAACAACUUAGGAGCAUCAUUGGCUUCAAAUCGAGUGGCCUGCAUUUCAGGUUCUUGUUUUGGAAACCGAAAGAGAAGAGACGCCCAAGGACCAGGAGUGGGGAAUAUGGUGGAGGUUGAAGCUGCUGGUACUUCUUCAUGGCAAGUAUGGUUUGAUUUGACACUGCUUCUGAAAAAUGUGAAGCAAAUGCUUUUCUUUAGCUUGUUUGAGAUGUGGGUUGGUGGCAGAAAGCCCACUCAUUCAUUUCAAGUCAGCUCAUUAUCUGAGAUGUGGGUUGGUGUCAGAAAACCCAUUCACCCAGUUCAAGUCAUUCAACUUAUUCUCUUCUUAUUUUCCUCCUUAUGUUUCUCUGGCCUUUAAUGGUGGUGGUAAAGCAAGUGAAUGUGGUGUGAUAUUGGCGGGAACGGCUCAAUCUAUAUUUAUUCUGUUCUUAUUAUUUUUCUCUCUUGUAGCUAUUUGUGUACAUGUGUGUAGAAUAGCACAUUCUUCUCCAACCAAGUUUGCUGCUUCUUAUGGUUAA